GACGAACGCUGGCGGCGUGCUUAACACAUGCAAGUCGAACGGAAAGGCCCUGCUUGCUGGGUACUCGAGUGGCGAACGGGUGAGUAACACGUGGGUGAUCUGCCCUUCACUUCGGGAUAAGCCUGGGAAACUGGGUCUAAUACCGGAUAGGAGCCCUUUUUAGUGUGAUGGUUGGAAAGUUUUUUCGGUGUAGGAUGAGCUCGCGGCCUAUCAGCUUGUUGGUGGGGUAAUGGCCUACCAAGGCGGCGACGGGUAGCCGGCCUGAGAGGGUGGACGGCCACAGUAGGACUGAGAUACAGCCCAGACUCCUACGGGAGGCAGCAGUGGGGAAUAUUGCACAAUGGGCGCAAGCCUGAUGCAGCGACGCCGCGUGGGGGAUGACGGCCUUCGGGUUGUAAACUCCUUUCGCUAGGGACGAAGCUUUUUGUGACGGUACCUAGAUAAGAAGCACCGGCUAACUACGUG
rnacentral:rRNA from 1 species